rnacentral:rRNA from 1 species
UACGUAGGGUGCAAGCGUUGUCCGGAAUUAUUGGGCGUAAAGAGCUCGUAGGCGGCCUGUCGCGUCGGCUGUGAAAACCUGGGGCUCAACUCCGGGCUUGCAGCCGAUACGGGCAGACUAGAGUUCGGCAGGGGAGACUGGAAUUCCUGGGUGUAGCGGUGAAAUGCGCAGAGUAUCAGGAGGAACACCGGUGGCGAAGGCGGGUCUCUGGGCCGAAACUGACGCUGAGGAGCGAAAGCGUGGGGAGCAAACAGG